rnacentral:rRNA from 1 species
GAUGAACGCUGGCGGCGUGCCUAAUACAUGCAAGUCGAGCGAACAGACGAGGAGCUUGCUCCUCUGACGUUAGCGGCGGACGGGUGAGUAACACGUGGAUAACCUACCUAUAAGACUGGGAUAACUUCGGGAAACCGGAGCUAAUACCGGAUAAUAUAUUGAACCGCAUGGUUCAAUAGUGAAAGACGGUUUUGCUGUCACUUAUAGAUGGAUCCGCGCCGCAUUAGCUAGUUGGUAAGGUAACGGCUUACCAAGGCAACGAUGCGUAGCCGACCUGAGAGGGUGAUCGGCCACACUGGAACUGAGACACGGUCCAGACGCCUACGGGAGGCAGCAGUAGGGAAUCUUCCGCAAUGGGCGAAAGCCUGACGGAGCAACGCCGCGUGAGUGAUGAAGGUCUUCGGAUCGUAAAACUAUGUUAUUAGGGAAGAACAAAUGUGUAAGUAACUAUGCACGUCUUGACGGUACCUAAUCAGAAAGCCACGGCUAACUACGU